UAUACAUAUAGUGUGCUAUAGACAAGCAUAUAGUCAUGACGUGCAGAAAGUAUAUUCUUCUUUUUCUUUCUUUUCUGUUUUAUGCAUGUUAUUUGCCGUAAGUGAUAAACAUAUUGUUGACACACUUUCUUUUCCAUCAAUUCUGGCAUGUUUAUAAGUGCAUCCGAAGACAAAACAGUUACCUUUUAUCUCAUUGAGGAGAAAAUUGCAAGGCUACCGUGAUUCCCAAGAGCCAUGGUGAGGAACAACCACAAGUGAAACUAGAACUAUUUACUUUCUGCAACAAAUAAGCUACUGGAGAAUGAAGAUUCAGAUUUGGCCUUUAAUGAUCUUCUCAGGAGUUGUCACAGUGGUGAGAUGUUCCUUACGACAAGUUCCUAGUUAAUCUCCUUUCGGUUGACUGUAUAGUCUGUGUUAAAGCUUCUUAGUUAAUCUCAAUGCUAGUGCUAGGGUCUGUUUUUUCUUUUGUUCUGGCUAGGCCUAGGAAUAUUGAAUUAAUGUUGUGUCUGCACAUUGGCUCUUUCUUGUAAUGAGAUCUUACAGAAUACUAAAAUAUACCGUCAUUAUUUGGUGCGCAA